GGGAGGUAGUGACAAUAAAUAACAAUAUAGGACUCUUUCGGGUCGUAUAAUUGCAAUGAGUACAAUUUAAAUCCCUUAACGAGGAACAAUUGGAGGGCAAGUCUGGUGCCAGCAGCCGCGGUAAUUCCAGCUCCAAUAGCGUAUAUUAAAGUUGUUGCAGUUAAAAAGCUCGUAGUUGAAUUUCGGGGUUCUACCGUUGGUCGGGCUAACCAGUCUGUACUAGCGUGUAGAAUUCCUACCUUCUGGAGAACCAUCAUGUUAUUAAUUUAGCGUGGUGGGAAACCAGGACCUUUACCUUGAAAAAAUUAGAGUGUUCAAAGCAGGCUUACGUCUGAAUACAUUAGCAUGGAAUAAUAGAAUAGGACGGUGGUCCUGUUUUGUUGGUUUCUGAAUCACCGUAAUGAUUAAUAGGGAUAGUUGGG
rnacentral:rRNA from 1 species